CACCUCUCAGGGUCAUACCUGGAGAGUUUCCAGUACUCAACCAGUCUUGGCUAUGGGAGGGAGAAUCAAGCAGAGGCAUAUCCAUUCCAUUCCUAGUUUGGGCAGUGGCUAGCAAGGGAAAGGCAAUCUGCUACAAGU
rfam:Ornithorhynchus anatinus chromosome 7, whole genome shotgun sequence.